UGCUAUUCUAUUUUGGAACUUAAUUAUCAUAGAAAAAGAGACUACCAAUCUGUUUUUUGAAAGGAAUACUUUUUUCGUUUAAAAUAUUAAGAUAGAAUAAUUAAAAAAUUAAAUCUGAUCCCUUAAUUUCAUUUUUAAGUGAAGAAGAAUAAUAUUUCGAUUAGAAAAAUAUUCUAUUCGUUGACAUCGAGUCCCCCAGGUAAUCUGCCGCUAAGUGUUUAAGCCUAUUGUUGCUAAGUAAUACAAACCUUCUAGCUACUGAAGAAUAAAAUAAAACAUGGACGAAACCAGAGAAGAAGAUCAACAAGAGGAAGUACCUGAAGAAGAAAAUAAAGAAGAAAAGGAAGAAGAAAAAAAUGAGGAGGAGGAGCUCUUCGCUCAAACCGAAACUCUUCGGCAAGAAUUGAAAGAGGAAAUGAUCAAAGUUAUUGAAGAUGUAGUCUACGAACUAAAGUUAGCGGAUAAAUUAGUUGACGGUCUUAUACCUGACAGUGACGGUAUUUCUGAGGACGAAAUGAGUGAGACUAACAUUAAUUUUGUUUGCGAAGCUUUUUGGCAAAAUGCGGUGAACUCUAUUAAGAUAGCGGAUAUAUCCAUCGACGACAAUGAUAAAAAAAACGAUAAGGCAGACGAUGGACAAGAGGAAGAAGAAGCAGAAGCAGAGGAGGGUGCAGAAGAAAAAGAAAAAGGAGCAUCAGAAGAAGAUACUGAAAAAGAAAAAGAGGGAGAAAAAGAAGUUGAGCCAAAGAAUGAAUUAGAAGAAGAAAUGAAAGGAAAUGAAGAAAUCACUGAAGAGAAAACCAAAGAAGAAAUUGAAAAUAUUGCCGAAGAAACUACCGCUGAUGAAGAGAAAGGGGACGAUGAAAUAAUUGAGAUUAAAGAAAACAAAGAAAACUUUCUCUUUGUAGAAGCACUCUUUAGCGCAUUAAAUGAACUAGGUAAAGAAGAAUUGAUCGAAAAGAUAAAAAACUGGCAAAGCGUAGUUUCGCAAUGGAGAAAAUUACAAAUGAUACGAGAAAUGGCUGAGGAACGGAAACGCAAAGCCGAAGAGCUCUUCUUACAACAGCAAGAGCAAGAGGAUGAAGAAGAAGAAAUACAACCUCAAAGAACUCCUACUCCUCCACCAAUACCAUAUACUCAAGUUCUGUCAGAGUGCUCAGGAACUUUAUUAGAUUGCCUUCGCCUUGAUAUUCACCUAUUACAAAGAUUAGAGAAGGCAGAAGUUCUUUCUGAAGAUAUGAUUUUGGAUAUAAAGUGUCGGGCAAAUAGACAUGAUAGAGUGAAUAGGCUUAUACAUUUGCUGAUGAGAUUGGGUCCAGAAUCAUUGAGGAAUUUUAUAGAAGCUCUUAAGCAAAGUGAAGAUCAUUAUUUCUUGGCAAAUAUCUUAUCAUUUAGAACUUUUACUUAGAAACUUAUGUCUUAAAUUUGAGAUUUAUGAAAAGGAAAUAUAAGCUUUUUAUUAUUAUUUUACUUUAUAAAAAAAAGAGAGAAAAAAAAUCUUCAAUUAUCCCUAUCCUUAUAAAUAUUACAA
rnacentral:misc_RNA from 1 species